rnacentral:rRNA from 1 species
AACGAACGCUGGCGGCAUGCCUAACACAUGCAAGUCGAACGAGACCUUCGGGGCCAGUGGCCCACGGGUGCGUAACGCGCGGGAACCCGACCUUAGGUUCGGAAUAACUCCCCGAAAGGGGUGCUAAUACCGGACAAAGGCUUCGGAACAAAGAUUUAUCGCCUUUGGAUGGGCCCGCGUUGGAUUAGCUAGUUGGUAGGGUAAAAGCCUACCAAGGCGACGAUCCAUAGCUGGUCUGAGAGGAUGAUCAGCCACACUGGGACUGAGACACGGCCCAGACUCCUACGGGAGGCAGCAGUGGGGAAUAUUGGACAAUGGGCGAAAGCCUGAUCCAGCAAUGCCGCGUGAGUGAUGAAGGCCUUAGGGUUGUAAAGCUCUUUUACCCGGGAUGAUAAUGACAGUACCGGGAGAAUAAGCUCCGGCGAACUCCGC